rfam:Shigella dysenteriae Sd197, complete genome.
AAAAUCUUGCAAAAUCAAUAAAUUGCAGGAACGAUGUAGGCCU